rnacentral:rRNA from 1 species
UACAGAGGUCUCAACCGUUGUUCGGAUUCAUUGGGCGUAAAGGGUGCGUAGGCGGCGGAGUCAGUCAGGUGUGAAAUCUCGGGGCUCAACCCCGAAACUGCACUUGAUACUGCUUCGCUCGAGUACUGGAGAGGAGACUGGAAUUUACGGUGUAGCAGUGAAAUGCGUAGAUAUCGUAAGGAAGACCAGUGGCGAAGGCGAGUCUCUGGACAGUUACUGACGCUGAGGCACGAAGGCCAGGGGAGCAAACGGG